rnacentral:rRNA from 1 species
CGCCUUAUACUCCUACGGGAGGCAGCAGUGGGGAAUAUUGGACAAUGGGCGCAAGCCUGAUCCAGCCAUGCCGCGUGAGUGAUGAAGGCCCUAGGGUUGUAAAGCUCUUUUGUGCGGGAAGAUAAUGACGGUACCGCAAGAAUAAGCCCCGGCUAACUUCGUGCCAGCAGCCGCGGUAAUACGAAGGGGGCUAGCGUUGCUCGGAAUCACUGGGCGUAAAGGGUGCGUAGGCGGGUCUUUAAGUCAGGGGUGAAAUCCUGGAGCUCAACUCCAGAACUGCCUUUGAUACUGAGGAUCUUGAGUUCGGGAGAGGUGAGUGGAACUGCGAGUGUAGAGGUGAAAUUCGUAGAUAUUCGCAAGAACACCAGUGGCGAAGGCGGCUCACUGGCCCGAUACUGACGCUGAGGCACGAAAGCGUGGGGAGCAAACAGGAUUAGAUACCCGGGUAGUCCACGUACCA